GUGCUGCAUGGCUGUCGUCAGCUCGUGUUGUGAAAUGUUGGGUUAAGUCCCGCAACGAGCGCAACCCUUAUCCUUUGUUGCCAGCGGUCCGGCCGGGAACUCAAAGGAGACUGCCAGUGAUAAACUGGAGGAAGGUGGGGAUGACGUCAAGUCAUCAUGGCCCUUACGACCAGGGCUACACACGUGCUACAAUGGCGCAUACAAAGAGAAGCGACCUCGCGAGAGCAAGCGGACCUCAUAAAGUGCGUCGUAGUCCGGAUUGGAGUCUGCAACUCGACUCCAUGAAGUCGGAAUCGCUAGUAAUCGUGGAUCAGAAUGCCACGGUGAAUACGUUCCCGGGCCUUGUACACACCGCCCGUCACACCAUGGGAGUGGGUUGCAAAAGAAGUAGGUAGCUUAACCUUCGGGAGGGCGCUUACCACUUUGUGAUUCAUGACUGGGGUGAAGUCGUAACAAGGUAACCGUAGGGGAACCUGCGGUUGGAUCAC
rnacentral:rRNA from 1 species